GACGAACGCUGGCGGCGUGCUUAACACAUGCCAGUCGAACGGAAAGGCCCUGCUUUUGUGGGGUGCUCGAGUGGCGAACGGGUGAGUAACACGUGAGUAACCUGCCCUUGACUUUGGGAUAACUUCAGGAAACUGGGGCUAAUACCGGAUAGGAGCUCCUGCUGCAUGGUGGGGGUUGGAAAGUUUCGGCGGUUGGGGAUGGACUCGCGGCUUAUCAGCUUGUUGGUGGGGUAGUGGCUUACCAAGGCUUUGACGGGUAGCCGGCCUGAGAGGGUGACCGGCAAGAGGGGGAGUGGGGUGAGGCGCAGGGGGGGGGGGGAGGGAGCAGUGGGGAAGGUGGCGGGGGGGGAGGACGCGUGGGGCAGCGGGGGGGGGUGGGGGAUGACAGAGCGGGAGGUGGAAGCCGCUGACGCGGGUGAGGGAGGGUGGGUGAGGGGAAGGGGAAAGGGAGCACCGGUUAACUAGGGGCAAGCAGCGGCGGUGAUAGAUCAGAAGAGCACACUUCUGAA
rnacentral:rRNA from 1 species